rnacentral:tRNA from 1 species
CUAAUCUUAGUUUAAGUUGUAGAAUGAGGGUUUUGGGGAUCUUUGGUCUCGUUGAGAGGUUUGA